GACUGCUUGGCGCAAUGGUAGCGCGCGGUCCUCCUAUUAUCAUCCAUUGGUUAUGGGAGUGAAAGACUGAGGUUGCGGGUUCGAGUCCCGUGGUGGUCG